rnacentral:rRNA from 1 species
GCAGCCACCUUUUGAAACGCGUCAAAGCGUAACUUUAACACCCAAAAUACCAUUAAUUUUUAUGAACCCCUAAUUUAUAAUGAAUGACUCCAUAUUUAUAUGGAAGACACCAUGCUAGGAUUAGUAACAAGAAUUUAUAAUUCUCCAAAAUGCAAAUAUAAACCAACAUGGAUAGACCAUUGGUAGUUACCGAACCUAAAUUUAAUGCAAUAACAUCCACAAGAAAACUCUGCAGCAAUCACUCGUUAACCUAACACCAGCGCAUUACAGGAAAGAUUCAAAAAAAGAGAAGGAAUUCGGCAAAUGACGGCCCCGCCUGUUUACCAAAAACAUCGCCUCUUGACUUAUAAUAAGAGGUCUAGCCUGCCCAGUGAAUUUUAAACGGCCGCGGUAUCCUAACCGCGCGAAGGUAGCAUAAUCACUUGUUCUUUAAAUGGGGACUCGUAUCAACGGCAUCACGAGGGUUUUACUGUCUCCUCUUUUUGAUCAGUGAAAUUGAUCUUCCCGUGAAGAAGCGGGAAUAUUUUUAUAAGACGAGAAGACCCCAUGGAGCUUUAAACCAAAUAACAACUUAACCACUUAUCCCAUAAUAAAUUUAACCCCUGUUAUAAGGUUUUUGGUUGGGGUGACCGCGGAGUAAAGCACAUCCUCCACGACGGAAAGAAUAAAAUCUUUAUUUAAGAACCACACUUCUAGAAAUUAGUAUACUAACGUUUACUGACCCGACAAUCGAUCAACGGACCAAGUUACCCUGGGGAUAACAGCGCAAUCUACUUCGAGAGCUCAUAUCGACAAGUAGGCUUACGACCUCGAUGUUGGAUCAGGGUAUCCCGGUGGUGCAGCCGCUACCGAAGGUUCGUUUGUUCAACGAUUAAAACCCUACGUGAUCU